AAAAUGAAUGGGUUAAAGAAUACACUUUGUAAAUAAUAACUGUGUGUUAAAUAAGGGAAAGUACAAAUGAAGAAAAAGUAUGGUUUAAAACAAAUAUUUAUUAUUGUUCAGAGACAAUACCUGGGGGACACUAGGACCAGGUGGAAGCUACUGGAGUCAAGGCUGGCUCCAGUUCAAAUUAAUUAUCCAAUUUAAUGACAUGUCAAUUGUUUAAUGAUAUAAUUGGUUACCAUUUAAAAUGUCUGUUUGGUGAGUGUUUGAACGAGGGUGAUGGUAGGAGCUGAGUUGGAGAGUGGGAGAGGAAAACAAGGAAAACAAGGAAAACAAGGAAAACGAGUAUUCGUAUUGUGAACUGGUUAACGACAUUUUGGAAAGGAACUCGAAAGCAGAUGUCAGAGAGCUAGCGACCGCUGGAGGACAAAUGCCAGCCCUGCAGGUGUCCGCUUUUGAGCUCACUGGGCACUUGGCCAGCAGGGUUCGCUGUAGCAUGAUUGGAUAAAGUGUCAGAGCCAAUGCAACGCUUCCUUAGGAGUCCCCAGUGAAAAUCGGCCUACUUCGCACAGCCAGGAUGUGAGCCUGCACUGCACGAUUUACCCUGCGCACCUCGCCACUACGCUUCUACCAGGUACUGUGGCCAGGUGAUAAUGGCUGAUGUGUAAUGCUGGCUCUGGAGAUCAUCCAAGCUGCGGCCUCCCUGGCACAUCAGCACACACCAUGGUGCAGAUGCUAGCUCCAGCCAGCGUCUCAGCAAGGCAACCGUCUGGAGUGGGUUUAUACACCUUCUCCAAUGUUCCUGCCAGUAAAGCCCAUGUGGCAUACUAAGUGCAUCAUGGACUUGCCAACGAAGCCUCUGCAUCUCACUUCCACUGGGCAGAUGGAUGUCUCUCAGCUCUUUCUCCUUGAUGCAAAAAACUCCCUAUGAAUCCAACCAUACUCAUCCAAACUAUCCAUAAAUGGUUCUAUUUAAAUUCUAUUAAUACAUAUUUCUAUAUACAUGUUUUUAUUUAAAUAGUGAAACACAUGAAAUAUUGUAUUGCUAAUAUUUUUCUCCAUCUGGCUAAACAAAUGAUA